UUUGUAUGUGGAUCUGCCGCCUA
rnacentral:siRNA from 1 species